rnacentral:rRNA from 1 species
CCAGACUCCUACGGGAGGCAGCAGUGGGGAAUAUUGCACAAUGGGCGAAAGCCUGAUGCAGCGACGCCGCGUGAGCGAAGAAGUAUUUCGGUAUGUAAAGCUCUAUCAGCAGGGAAGAUAAUGACGGUACCUGACUAAGAAGCACCGGCUAAAUACGUGC